GACGAACGCUGGCGGCGUGCCUAAUACAUGCAAGUUGAGCGCUGAAGGUUGGUACUUGUACCAACUGGAUGAGCAGCGAACGGGUGAGUAACGCGUGGGGAAUCUGCCUUUGAGCGGGGGACAACAUUUGGAAACGAAUGCUAAUACCGCAUAAAAACUUUAAACACAAGUUCUAAGUUUGAAAGAUGCAAUUGCAUCACUCAAAGAUGAUCCCGCGUUGUAUUAGCUAGUUGGUGAGGUAAAGGCUCACCAAGGCGAUGAUACAUAGCCGACCUGAGAGGGUGAUCGGCCACAUUGGGACUGAGACACGGCCCAAACUCCUACGGGAGGCAGCAGUAGGGAAUCUUCGGCAAUGGACGAAAGUCUGACCGAGCAACGCCGCGUGAGUGAAGAAGGUUGUCGGAUCGUAAAACUCUGUUGGUAGAGAAGAACGUUGGUGAGAGUGGAAAGCUCAUCAAGUGACGGUAACUACCCAGAAAGGGACGGCUAACUACGUG
rnacentral:rRNA from 1 species